rnacentral:lncRNA from 1 species
GCAGAUCGAUGAGCCGACUGGAGCAGUGGUAUUGUCUGGAAAAGCCACUCGAUCAGUUUCAAUUUCAGAAGAAUUAACCUGUCUACUUGUCCUAACAGAAGCACAGAAUUUUCACCUUUUAGAGGCAAUUGCGGUAGUGGAUAAAUCUGUUAUCCUGGCAGCAUUCCUUUGGAAAGCAUCUGGUUCAAAUGCACUGGUUAAUGGUUAUCGAAGUUGGCUUCAAGAACAGAAUUAGACCAUCAUCGCUAUCGAUGGGAUGGGCAUAAGUAUCAGGGCACCGAUCAACUGCUAGCACUACUAGGUCCAUGAUCCCAGGCUGCUGCCUUUUUCUUUUCGAUUCGCUCUGCCACCAAAAGCUGCAAC